rnacentral:misc_RNA from 1 species
CUAACCCCAACCUAACCCCAACCUAACCCCAACCUUUUUUUUUUUUUUUUUUUUUUACGUGGGGAAAUCCUCAUGGACACCCGGGCGCCACCAGACGCGUCCGGGUAGUGUCGGACUCUUACCGACUAAAACCCCACGAUGACCAUCCUGGCGUCUUGUGGACUUAGGGUAGGUUCUCUUGCGAAUACGACCACCGCUUGUAGUCCGACGCCGCUGGUGUUGUCCUCCGAGAUGUUGUUCCGGAGCCAGAGGCAGGUCAUCCACCUCUGGCCACGUCGCCGUUGCCUACUUUCAGCCUCCGGGUCCCCCAGUUGGCGUCCGAGCUUCGUCCAUCUGCAGGUUUCAUCGGGGGGAGGGGGGAGAACUCGCCGUUCGGGGGCACCAAUCCCUACUAGGCGCUCUUGCCCCCACCCAGCCGGAAACUCUCGUCGGCGUACCACGAUGUCGCCCACAGGUGGAACGGUUGUCCCCCAAACCGACUUCCCCACCCGAACAUCCUCCUGGUGGCCCGUACUGCUUCCUCCUGGUUUGGGGUGCCCUCUAGUC